rnacentral:rRNA from 1 species
CGUGUAGGCGGUCAGGUAAGUGGAAUGUGAAAUGCCCCGGCUCACCCGGGGACCGGCAUCCCAAACUGCCUGGCUUGAGUAUGGGAGAGGAUGGAGGAAUUCCUGGUGUAGCGGUGAAAUGCGUAGAUAUCAGGAGGAACACCGGUGGCGAAGGCGUCCAUCUGGCCCAAUACUGACGCUGAGGCGCGAAAGCUAGGGGGAGCAAACGG